ensembl:lncRNA
CUCGAAGGGAAAACGCGUGAUUUUCUGGUUAAAUGGGGGAUUCACGAAGAGAAAAUGCGUGAUUUUCGCUUAAAUGUGGGAUUUCUAAACAGAAAACGCGUGAUUUUCGCUUCAAUGGGGGAUUUGAGAUGAGAAAACACGUGAUUUUCACGUUAAAUGGGGGAUUCUCGAAGAGAAAAGGUGUGAUUUUCGCUUAAAUGGGGGAUUUGAGAAGAGAAAAUGCGUGUUUUUCGCUUAAAUGGGGGAUGCUCGAAGAGAAAAUGCGAGAUUUUCGGGUUAAAUGGGGGAUUUGCAAAGAGAAAACGUCUGUUUUUCGCGAUAAAUGGGGGAUUUGCGAAGAGAAAACGCGUAAUAUUCGCUUAAAUGGGGGAUUCUCGAAGAGAAUACGUGAUUUUCGCUUAAAUGUGGUAUUUCUGAAGAGAAUACGCGUGAUUUUAGGGUUAAAUGGGGGAUUCUCGAAGAGAAAACGCGUGAUUUUUGCAUAACUGGGGGAUUUGCGAAGAGAAAACGUGUGUUUUGCGCUUAACAUGGGGAUUUGCAAAGAGAAAACGCGUCAUUUUCAGGUUAAAUGGGGGAUUUGCGAGUAGAAAACGUGAUUUUCGCUUCAAUGGGGGAUUUUUGAAGAGAAAACGCGUGAUUUUCUGGUUAAAUGGAGGUUUCUUGGAGAGAAAACGCAUCAUUUUCACUUAACUGGGGGAUUCACAAAGAGAAAACGCGUGAUUCUCGCUUAAAUGGGGGAUUCACAAAGAGAAAACGCGUAAUUUUCACUUAAAUGGGGGAUUUCGAAGAGAAAACGUGUGUGUUUCGCUUAAAUGGGGGAUUCGCGAAGAGAAAACGCGUGAUUUUUGCAUAACUGGGGAUUCUCAAAGAGAAAACGUGUGUUUUUCGCUUAAAUGGGGGAUUUGCAAAGAGAAAACGCGUGAUUUUUGCAUCAAUGGGGGAUUCUCGAAGAGAAAAGGCGUGAUUUUUGCAAACCUGGGGGAUUUGAGAAGAGAAAAUGCGUGUUUUUCGCAUAAAUGGGGGAUUUGCAAAGAGAAAACGCAUCAUUUUCGCUUAAAUGGGGGAUUCUCGAGGGAAAAAGCGUGAUUUUCUGGUUAAGUGGGGGAUUUGCGAAUAGAAAACGCGUGAUUUUUGCUUAAAUGGGGGAUUUG